rnacentral:rRNA from 1 species
CGCGAAGAACCUUACCUACUCUUGACAUACUUGGAGGCUCUUGUAAUGAGAGUGUGCCUUUUGGAACCAAGAUACAGGUGCUGCAUGGCUGUCG